rnacentral:pre_miRNA from 1 species
GAACUGGAACUGCUGAGUGAAUUAGGUAGUUUCAUGUUGUUGGCCCUGGGUUUCUGAACACAACGACAUUAAACCACCCGGUUCAUGGCAGUUACUGCUCC